UACGUAGGGGGCUAGCGUUGUCCGGAAUCAUUGGGCGUAAAGCGCGUGUAGGCGGCCCGGUAAGUCCGCUGUGAAAGUCGGGGGCUCAACCCUCGAAAGCCGGUGGAUACUGUCGGGCUCGAGUACGGAAGAGGCGAGUGGAAUUCCCGGUGUAGCGGUGAAAUGCGCAGAUAUCGGGAAGAACACCCGUGGCGAAGGCGGCUCUCUGGAACGGUACUGACGCUGAGACGCGAAAGCGUGGGGAGCGAACAGG
rnacentral:rRNA from 1 species